rnacentral:rRNA from 1 species
UAUACCUACGGGGCGCAGCAGUGAGGAAUAUUGGUCAAUGGGCGGGAGCCUGAACCAGCCAAGCCGCGUGAAGGAAGAAGGCGCCAAGCGUCGUAAACUUCUUUUGUCGGGGAACAAAGGGCGCCACGUGUGGCGUUGUGAGUGUACCCGAAGAAAAAGCAUCGGCUAACUCCGUGCCAGCAGCCGCGGUAAUACGGAGGAUGCGAGCGUUAUCCGGAUUUAUUGGGUUUAAAGGGUGCGUAGGCGGUCCGGAAAGUCAGCGGUAAAAGCCCGGGGCUCAACCUCGCUCCGCCGUUGAAACUGGG